UACAAAUAAUUUUAUUAAAAUCCCAUAUCAUUAUUUUAAAUAAUAAUUAAGCCGGUGAUACCGCUUUUGAAACAGACACACAAUAAGCCCAUACUUCAUCUCUUUUCUGUAAAUAUUUGGAUUCGUUUCCGAUUAAACUAGGUCUAUCCGCGAUAUAUUUGACAAGUGUGUCAUGACACUCUUUGCCUUCUUGAACAAGCUCCUUGCAACAAGGAAUGGAUACAACUCCAUCUCCAAAAACUUGAGAAAUGAUCUUGAGCGCACAGUUUGGACUGAUUUUAACAACACAUUGAUCCCAUAACUUUUUUGGCUCAUUUUCUUCUACAGCGAAUGAAGGUACACAUGUAUUCGCCACAACUAGGACAACAAAAGACAACAUAGUAAAGUUAAGCUUCGCCAUGGUUGUUAUGUGUUUGAGGAUUUACUGUUUAACUUUCCUCAAGUUAGAGAAAGAAAUAAGUUUUUAAAUUUCUGAUGUUAUUUGAAUAAACGAGGCUUGCCCUAUUUAUAGAUACGAAUAAUCAAUAUUUAACAUUUAUGUUCGACUAAUGAAUUUUGCUUUUGACGUUUUUAUCAUUAACAGGUGUUAAGUUACAUUUUUUGCUGAAGUUAUUAACUGCUUAGGCUUAUACUUUAUAAAGAAUUAAAUUAGGAUUCCUGUAGUAUACAAAUGAACACACUAAAAAGUUAUAUAAUUAUUUAAAUUAAAAACUACCGAACAUUUUUAAUGAAUUUUUUUUUUGUCAGCAACAUAUAAUUUGGUGGUUGUAUAUCAACUUACUACAAAAACCAAAAGUACACUCUAACAUUUGAUCAAUCUAGAAAUGAUUUAAAGUAUAUAUCGAUAUAUCUCUCUCUCUAUAAGAUUAAAGGAAAGAGUUUCAGAUUUUAUAUAUUUUUUAUUUCGUAAUGUAGGAUGCUUAAGAAUGUAAUUUUAUCCUUUUAAUUUUAUAAACUUUUAUAUAGGGAUGGUUAUGAGGUAAAACAUGACUCCACUUGGGAAAAUAAUCUACAAAUUUCAAUUCCUAUACAAGAAAUAAAACAUGAAAUCUAUAUAGAAUGAAAUUUAAUAAAAACUUAAAAAUAAAUUUUCGAAUUUAAACUUGCCAUAUCAUAUUUUAUCAGUUUAUAACUUACAUAAUAUUUUAAUUACUAUAUAUUUUCUCAAGGAAAUUUAUGUGUCUCAUAUUAAACAUAUAACUAGCAUAUAUAUACUUAUAUAAAUUAACGAAUGGUUAUUUUUAUUCUUGAAUGAAUUUUUUUAAUAGAGUUGAGUGCUUUUAAAAAUGGUUCAUGCACAGUUUUGAGCCGCGACUCUGUUUGUAUUUGGUUAAUGUUUCUUAAAUCAUUCUUCAAAUUGUGUAUCCGAUCAAUUUAUUCAAAAUAUAUUUAAUAACUCCAAAAUUUAAAUAUGAAAACGUAUGUGAUGGGAAAAAGAAAAUGGUAUAUAGAUUGUGCGACCACUUGAAGGUGAUACUAUAAAUGUAAUAAGUCUGUUGCGGUCUUGUGGAUUGGAGAAAUAGUAGAUUUUUAAGAUUACAAAUUAGUGUUUAUUUUGAUAUUUCAACUUAUUAAUUCAUAAAAAGUUUAAAUAUUAUUAUUUUUUUAAUUGGCAUCUAAAACUGAGAAAAGGGAACAAAUAAUGCAAAAUAAAUUAAGUAACACAAAACGAUAAAUAUCAAUAUAAAUCUCACAUGAAUAUAUUAAAAAUUAAUUUUGAAUUUGUAUGCAAAUACAAAUAAUUUUAUUAAAAUCCCAGAUCAUUAUUUUAAAUAAUAAUUAAGCCGGUGAUACCGCUUUUGAAACAGACACACAAUAAGCCCAUACUUCAUCUCUUUUCUGUAAAUAUUUGGAUUCGUUUCCGAUUAAACUAGGUCUAUCCGCGAUAUAUUUGACAAGUGUGUCAUGACACUCUUUGCCUUCUUGAACAAGCUCCUUGCAACAAGGAAUGGAUACAACUCCAUCUCCAAAAACUUGAGAAAUGAUCUUGAGCGCACAGUUUGGACUGAUUUUAACAACACAUUGAUCCCAUAACUUUUUUGGCUCAUUUUCUUCUACAGCGAAUGAAGGUACACAUGUAUUCGCCACAACUAGGACAACAAAAGACAACAUAGUAAAGUUAAGCUUCGCCAUGGUUGUUAUGUGUUUGAGGAUUUACUGUUUAACUUUCCUCAAGUUAGAGAAAGAAAUAAGUUUUUAAAUUUCUGAUGUUAUUUGAAUAAACGAGGCUUGCUCUAUUUAUAGAUACGAAUAAUCAAUAUUUAACAUUUAUGUUCGACUAAUGAAUUUUGCUUUUGACGUUUUUAUCAUUAACAUGUGUUAAGUUAAAUUUUUUUUGCUGAAGUUAUUAACUGCUUAGGCUUAUACUUUAUAAAGAAUUAAAUUAGGAUUCCUGUAGUAUACAAAUGAACACACUAAAAAGUUAUAUAAUUAUUUAAAUUAAAAACUACCGAACAUUUUUAAUGAAUUUUUUUUUUGUCAGCAACAUAUAAUUUGGUGGUUGUAUAUCAACUUACUACAAAAACCAAAAGUACACUCUAACAUUUGAUCAAUCUAGAAAUGAUUUAAAGUAUAUAUCGAUAUAUCUCUAUCUCUCUAAGAUUAAAGGAAAGAGUUUCAGAUUUUAUAUAUUUUUUAUUUCGUAAUAUAGGAUGCUUAAGAAUGUAAUUUUAUCCUUUCAAUUUUAUAAACUUUUAUAUAGGGAUGGUUAUGAGGUAAAACAUGACUCCACUUGGGAAAAUAAUCUACAAAUUUCAAUUCCCUAUACAAGAAAUGAAACAUGAAAUCUAUAAAGAAUGAAAUUUAAUAAAAACAGAAAAACAAAUUUUCAAAUUUAGACUUGCCACAUAGAUUAACUACUAUAUAUUUCUCAAGGAAAUUUAUGUGUCUCAUAUUAAACAUAUAAAUAGCAUAUAUAUGCUUAUAUAAAUUAACGAAUGGUUAUUUUUAUUCUUGAAUGAAUUUUUUAAUUGAGUUGAGUCCUUUUAAAAAUGUUUCAUGCACAGUUUUGAGCCGCGACUCCGUUUGUACUUGGUUAUUUUUUUCUUAAAUCAUUCUCCAAGCUGUAUUUUCGAUCAAUUUCUUCAAAAUAUAUGUAAUAACAGCAAAAUUUAAAUAUGAAAACAAAUGUUAUGGGAAACAGAAAAUGGUAUAUAGAUUGUGCGACCACUUGUUGAAGGUGAUACUAUAAAUGUAAUAAGUCUGUUGCGGUCUUGUGGAUUGCCGAAAUGCUAGAUUUUUAAGAUUACAAAUUAGUGUUUAUUUUGAUAAUUCGCCUUAUUAAUUCAUAAAAACUGUGAGUAUUUAAAGAUUUUUAAGUAUUAAUUUUUUUAUUUGGCAUCUAAAACUGAGAAAGGGGAAUAAAGUAAUGCAAAAUAAAAUAAGUAACACAAAACGAUAAAUAUAAAUCUCACAUGAAUGUAUUAAAAAUUAAUUUUGAAUUUGUAUGCAAAUACAAAUAAUUUUAUUAAAAUCCCAUAUCAUUAUGUUAAAUAAUAAUUAAGCCGGCGAUACCGCUUUUGAAACAGACACACAAUAAGCCCAUACUUCAUCUCUUUUCUGUAAAUAUUUGGAUUCGUUUCCGAUUAAACAAGGUCUAUCCGCGAUAUAUUUGACAAGUGUGUCAUGACACUCUUUGCCUUCUUGAACAAGCUCCUUGCAACAAGGAAUGGAUACAACUCCAUCUCCAAAAACUUGAGAAAUGAUCUUGAGCGCACAGUUUGGACUGAUUUUAACAACACAUUGAUCCCAUAACUUUUUUGGCUCAUUUUCUUCUACAGCUAAUGAAGGUACACAUGUAUUCGCCACAACUAGGACAACA
rnacentral:lncRNA from 1 species